rnacentral:rRNA from 1 species
AGAGUUGAUCUGGCUACAGAACGAACGCUGGCGGCGCGUCUUAAGCAUGCAAGUCGAACGGCAAGAGGUAGCAAUACCUCCUAGAGUGGCGGACUGGUGAGUAACACGUGGGUGACAUACCCUUCAGAUGGGGAUAGCUAUUAGAAAUAGUAGAUAAUACCGAAUACGAGCACAGGGGUUAGAGAUCUGUGAGGAAAGGAGCUAAGGCUCCGCUGAAGGAAUGGCCUGCGGCCCAUUAGCUAGUUGGUGAGGUAAGAGCCCACCAAGGCGAUGAUGGGUAUCCGGCCUUAGAGGGUGAACGGACACAUUGGGACUGAGAUACGGCCCAGACUCCUACGGGAGGCAGCAGCUAAGAAUAUUCCGCAAUGGACGAAAGUCUGACGGAGCGACGCCGCGUGGAUGAAGAAGGCCGGAAGGUUGUAAAAUCCUUUUGAAACUGAAGAAUAAGCGUUGUAGGGAAUGACAGCGUGGUGACAGUAGGUUUUGAAUAAGCAACGGCUAAUUACGUGCCAGCCGCUGC